rnacentral:rRNA from 1 species
CUGGCGGCGUGCCUAAUACAUGCAAGUCGAGCGGAUCGAUGGGAGCUUGCUCCCUGAGAUCAGCGGCGGACGGGUGAGUAACACGUGGGUAACCUGCCUGUAAGACUGGGAUAACUCCGGGAAACCGGGGCUAAUACCGGAUAACACCUACCCCCGCAUGGGGGAAGGUUGAAAGGUGGCUUCGGCUAUCACUUACAGAUGGACCCGCGGCGCAUUAGCUAGUUGGUGAGGUAAUGGCUCACCAAGGCGACGAUGCGUAGCCGACCUGAGAGGGUGAUCGGCCACACUGGGACUGAGACACGGCCCAGACUCCUACGGGAGGCAGCAGUAGGGAAUCUUCCGCAAUGGACGAAAGUCUGACGGAGCAACGCCGCGUGAGUGAAGAAGGUUUUCGGAUCGUAAAACUCUGUUGUUAGGGAAGAACAAGUGCCGUUCGAAUAGGGCGGCGCCUUGACGGUACCUAACCAGAAAGCCACGGCUAACUACGUGCCAGCAGCCGCGGUAAUACGUAGGUGGCAAGCGUUGUCCGGAAUUAUUGGGCGUAAAGCGCGCGCAGGUGGUUUCUUAAGUCUGAUGUGAAAGCCCACGGCUCAACCGUGGAGGGUCAUUGGAAACUGGGGAACUUGAGUGCAGAAGAGGAAAGUGGAAUUCCAAGUGUAGCGGUGAAAUGCGUAGAUAUUUGGAGGAACACCAGUGGCGAAGGCGACUUUCUGGUCUGUAACUGACACUGAGGCGCGAAAGCGUGGGGAGCAAACAGGAU